GUAACUCAAAAACUAUUCAACGAAUUUGCAUGAAACUUUGAUGAAUUGUUUCUAUAUAUUGAUGUGUACUCCCUUCCCGUUUUUAUGAAUUUUAGAUUUUCAAAAAUAUAGAAGUAAAAAAUUAAGACCACUGGUACAGAACUGUACAGCUUUCAAGAACGAGAUAACCUAAUACUAAAAAGGGCCAAGAUGAAGGAGACAGAAAAGAGGCUUUCCGAAAUGGUUUUCAAAUGUAGGUGAACUAAGAUCCCUCUUUCCCAAUGCUACAGUAUUGGCUUUAAGUGCAACUU